rnacentral:rRNA from 1 species
CCUACGGGUGGCAGCAGUGGGGAAUAUUGGACAAUGGGCGCAAGCCUGACCCAGCGACGCCGCGUGAGGGAAGAAGUCAUUCGGGAUGUAAACCUCUAUUAGCAGGGAAGAAAAUGACGGUAGUUGAGUAAGAAGAACAGGCGACCUACGUGCCAGCAGCCGCGGUAAUACGUAGGGGGUAAGCGUUAUCCGGAUUUACUGGGUGUGAAGGGAGCGUAGACGGCAGUGCAAGUCAGGAGUGAAAGGCGGGGGCUCAACCCCCGGACUGCCGUUGAAACUGGAGGGCUGGAGUACUGGAGAGGUAGGUGGAAUUCCUAGUGUAGCGGUGAAAUGCGUAGAUAUUAGGAGGAACACCAGUGGCGAAGGCGGCUUACUGGACUGUAACUGACGUUGAGGCUCGAAAGCGUGGGGAGCAAACAGGAUUAGAUACCCUUGUAGUC